AUGUGGAUUGCGGUGCCGGCGGAAGGGGAAGAAAUCGGUUCCAGCGAGGGCAUCGGUGGAGUAUGGCGGCGUCGGCGGAAGGGGACGACCCUCCGGCGGCGCGAACGGGGAAUGCGAGGAGGAAUAGGGUGGAGGAGGAGGAGCAUCGGCGGGAGCACCGUUGGACUGAGGCGGGGCGAGGAGAAUCGGGGCGAGGAGGAGCGCGAGUCCAGCAUGGUCAGCGCAAGUUCAUCGCGCGAGAAGGAGGAAGCGGACAAUCCGUGGCGGAUGGAUGGACAUCGCUGGCGGAUGGAUGGAGGAUAUGGAUCAGGACAGACGCAGAUGGACGGUAUCGCCUCCACCGAGCCACAAGCCGGACUAUGGCUACCGUCCACCGCCAGUGUCAAGGACAAGGAAGGCUACCUGGCGUUCGCGCUGGUUCGGCUGCUGCCAUCCAACCCGGAGUACCAGGAUGAGUCGGUGCUGUGGACGGAGAGCAAGAACAUCGGCCACGGCUUCCGCUGCGUCCGGAUGGUGAACAUCUACCUCAACUUCGACACCUUCCUGUUAGGGUUGUCUAUUGGAUCAACUAGGUUUACAUCUAGUCAGGUGGUUUAUUUGGGUUGAAUGAUUGAAC
rnacentral:lncRNA from 1 species